GGGAGCGCUGGGUGCGCCCGUGCUGCGCGCUGCUGAAACUCCAGGCUGAGCGGCAGCCCUGACGCAACGAGUUAGCAAAGUCCGUCAGCUGGUUUCUGUGACAGUUCGCAUCUUUGGCUCCGAACGAAAUCCUUUGGAUAAAGAGCCCUAAGAAGUGACCUAUCCUUGGCCUUCCAACAUGUUGCUUCCAGAAUAGCAACCUAUCAGGACCCUGGAGAGAAGCCACAGCAAAUGGCUGUGUCCCUGGGAGAAGGAACACAAGCGGAGCCUCUUCGUCUCCUUGCGUUGAGGCGAUGGAGCCGAGAGUCUCAGAAGAGCCAGGCAGAUGCCAUUCAUUCCCUGGACAGACUCCUGAGGACAGCUGCACAGAGAGAGACCCAGAGAGCUGCAGAAGGGUCUCCAGCGGUCAUCACCUGGAAAGGUGCUUGUGCCACUUAGAAAGUCCAGCCCACAGAACUUCAUGGCAAGAAUAACUUAAAGAUCACCUCUCUUUCUCCGACGGUACCUGUAAGAAGCAGAUGGCUUACCUGUGCCUGAGCAUCACUCUGCCCUCAGUGUAUCAGGAGGUCUGACAGAGGUUUGAAAAAAAAAAGAAGAAGAAGAAGAAGACGAAGCCACACAGGGAGGAAAUGAACUGAGACAACAGCACUUCACAGUAACCGGAAGGGAAACACACUCUCACCGCUCUGAGCCUACGUGUGCGGUUGCUCGGUGGGCAAAUGCUCGGAGCUGCCUUUGAAAACUGGAGCACGAGAGCAGCACAGUCAUGAAGCAGGACUGGGCUGCCACCUCCCGCGGGCCUGCCUGGAGGGAGGGCAAGGACACCAGGGCCACCAGAUGAUCCCGCCGCGGUUCGGCCCGGGGUGAGUUCUCAGACACUUGCCGGGCCUGAGGGCGGGGCGGGGCGCACUCAGACUCUGCUUCCUGAGUCGGUGUCAGACAGCUGGCAGUGUCCCCACCACCGGCUGUGAACACCCUUAUGUGCAGCUGGGAGGGACGCAGCACGCCCCAGAGGAGGGAAGAGUGACUCCAGAUCCCUUCAAGUUGACUCGGAGGCAGUGGCUUCAAGGCGCCUCGAACCUCCCUGAUGCUGCUUCCCUGAUGCGUCUUCCUGGUAGCGCUUCCUGGUGUGUGACGCUGGCGGCUCCCCCCACUUCCUACCGCCUCAGAGAGCUUACCUGGAAGGCCCCAGCUUUUCUUUUCCUGAAUUGUUUCAGCACUUCAGAGUGUGGGCUGCCACUUAGAGUUUGCGGUGGAGUAGAGUCAUUUAAAAUGCCCUUUUCAGCCUCCCUGGGAAGGAGGGAGUGACUGAGGGGCAAGAAAGGGGGGCUGAGAGCAGGAUUCUGUGUGUGUGUGUGUGUGUGUGUGUGUGUGUAGUGCAGGCUCUGCAGAGUGGCUCCUUGGUACCCCAAGGGUUGGGGACAGGUUAUCCUGCGUGGCCACACCAGGCCGGCCCAACAGCUCCAUCCUUACUUUUCUUUAUGUUUAUUAGUUCAUUUGGUUUGUUCAUUCAUUCGGUUGCCUUUCUUCUGUAAAGGACUUGAGGCAACCUUUUUAUCUUGCUGAAGUAGCUUCAAAAUGAAGAGACAUUUCAAAAGGGGGAAAAAAAGGGGGGGAAAGCCCAUCGAAAAGGGUUCGACACUGUCCAGAGCUGCCUGGAGAUGGGUGAGCGGUCUAGUCCCCAUGCUAGAGACAAGAGGGGAGGGCGGCGGCUCCGGGCUUUUCCCCUCCUGCCUGGAGAGCCCGUCUUUCCCCCAGAAGCUGGUUUCCCACCCAGAGGUGGGUGUGAAGAACACUCCUCAUGACAGAACCCUGGGAACCAGCCAAGCGGUUUUCCUCCCUGUUUCUGUUUCCUCCCAAGUUUGUUUAUUUUCAAGGAUGUUCCUGUUCUAAGAAUGGAGCAGGGGGAGCCAUGCAAAGGGCAGGAUGUGAAAUCAGUUUCAUGGUAGAGACCCACUGUUAUUCCUUAAUUAGUUCAUUAAAUUAUUGAAAAAUUAUCUAGUGGGUAUUCACGGUGUGGCAGCCACUUUUUUUUUUUUUUGCUUUUUAGGGCCGCACCUGCUGUAUAUGGAGAUUCCCAGGCUAGGAGUUGAAUUGAAGCUGUAGCCGCCGGCCUACGCCAGACCCACAGCAAUGUGGGAUCCCAGCCACGUCUGGGACCUACACCACAGCUCGCGGCAAUGCCGGAGCCGUAACCCACUGAGUGAAGCCACGGAUUGAACCCAAGUCUUCAUGGACACUAGUCGGGUUCAUUAACCACUGAGCCACAAUGGGAACUCCCUGGCGGCCACUUUUAAGUCAAAACUUAUGGAACCUCCAUAUGCCACAGGAGUGGCCCAAGAAAUAGCAAAAAGACCAAAAAAAAAAAAAAAAA
rnacentral:lncRNA from 1 species